GAUUAACGCUGGCGGCGUGCAUAACACAUUCAAGUCGAACGGAAGAGAGUGCUUCGGUACUUUCUUUAGUGGCGGACGGGUGAGUAACGCGUGAGUAAUCUACCUUCCAGUGCGGAAUAACAACCGGAAACAGUUGCUAAUACCGCAUGAAAUGGCAGCAUCGCAUGGUGCAACCAUCAAAGAUUUAUCGCUGGAAGAUGAGCUUGCGUCCGAUUAGAUAGUUGGCGGAGUAACAGCCCACCAAGUCGACGAUCGGUAGCCGGACUGAGAGGUUGAACGGCCACAUUGGAACUGAGAUACGGUCCAGACUCCUACGGGAGGCAGCAGUGGGGAAUAUUGGGCAAUGGGCGAAAGCCUGACCCAGCGACGCCGCGUGAGGGAAGAAGAUCUUCGGAUUGUAAACCUUAGUCAACAGGGAAGAAGAAAGUGACGGUACCUGUGGAGGAAGCCACGGCUAACUACGUG
rnacentral:rRNA from 1 species